GGCGAGUGAAGCGGUAACAGCUCAAAUUUGAAAGCUAGCUCUUUUAGGGUUCGCAUUGUAAUUUGUAGAAGAUGCUUCGGGUGUGGCCCCGGUCUAAGUUCCUUGGAACAGGACGUCAUAGAGGGUGAGAAUCCCGUAUGUGACUGGGUGCUUUCGCUCAUGUGAAGCUCUUUCGACGAGUCGAGUUGUUUGGGAAUGCAGCUCAAAAUGGGUGGUAAAUUUCAUCUAAAGCUAAAUAUUGGCCAGAGACCGAUAGCGCACAAGUAGAGUGAUCGAAAGAUGAAAAGCACUUUGGAAAGAGAGUUAAACAGUACGUGAAAUUGUUGAAAGGGAAGCGCUUGCAACCAGACUUGCGCGCUGAUGAUCAUCCGGGCUUCUGCCCGGUGCACUCGUCUGCGCUCAGGCCAGCAUCGGUUUCGGUGGUGGGAUAAAGGCCUUGGGAAUGUAGCUUCUUUCGGGGAGUGUUAUAGCCCUCGGUGCAAUGCCGCCUACCGGGACCGAGGACCGCGCUUCGGCUAGGAUGCUGGCGUAAUGGUUGUAAGCGACCCGUCUUGAAACACGGACCAAGGAGUCUAACAUCUAUGCGAGUGUUUGGGUGUCAAACCCAUACGCGUAAUGAAAGUGAACGGAGGUGAGAACCCUUAAGGGUGCAUCAUCGACCGAUCCUGAUGUCUUCGGAUGGAUUUGAGUAAGAGCAUAGCUGUUGGGACCCGAAAGAUGGUGAACUAUGCGUGAAUAGGGUGAAGCCAGAGGAAACUCUGGUGGAGGCUCGCAGCGGUUCUGACGUGCAAAUCGAUCGUCAAAUUUGCGUAUAGGGGCGAAAGACUAAUCGAACCAUCU
rnacentral:rRNA from 1 species